rnacentral:lncRNA from 1 species
GUCGGGGGGUUGUUAUGGGGUCGGGAGGGUGGUUAUGGGGUCUCUAUGGGGUCUUUAGAGGUCUCUAUGGGUCUCUAUGGGGUCUAUGGGGUCUAUGGGGUCUAUAUGGGAUCUAUGGGGUUCUAUGGGUCCUUAUGGGGUCUCUAUGGGGUUCUAUGGGUCCCUAUGGGUCCCUAUGGGUCUCUAUGUGUCUCUAUGGGGUCUCUAUGGGGCUCUAUGGGGUCUCUAUGGUGUCUGUGGGGUCAAUAUGGGGUUAUAGGUCUCUGUGGGUCCCUAUGGGUCUCUAUGGGUCUCUAUGGGGUCUAUGGGACUCCAUAGGUCUCUAUGGGGUCUCUAUGGGGUUUCUAUGGGGUCUCUAUGGGAUCUUUAUUGGGUUUCUAUGGGUCCCUAUGGGUCUCUAUGGGGUCUAUGGGUCUCUUUGGGGUCUCUAUGGGGUCUAUGGGGUUUCUAUGGGUUCUAUGGGUCCCUGUGGUGUCUCUAUGGGUCUCUAUGGGUCUCUAUGGGGUUUAUGGGGCUCUAUGGGGUCUCUAUGGGUUCUAUGGGGUCUAUGGGGUCUCUAUGGGGUCUAUGGGGUCCCUAUGGGUCUCUAUGGGUUCUAUUGUCUCUAUGGGGUCUCUAUGGGGUCUAUGUGUCUCUAUGAGUCUCUAUGGGGUCUAUGGGGUCUUUAUGGGAUCUUUAUUGGGUUUCUAUGGGGUCUAUGGGUCUCUAUGGGGUCUUUAUGGGGUCUAUGGGGUCUAUAUGGGAUCUAUGGGGUUCUAUGGGUCCUUAUGGGGUCUCUAUGGGGUUCUAUGUGUCCCUAUGGGUCUCUAUGGGUCUCUAUGGGUCCCUAUGGGUCUCUAUGGGUCUCUAUGGGUCUCUAUGGGGUCUAUGGGGUCUAUGGGUCACUAUGGGGUCUGUAUGGGGUGACGCCCCCUCCGCCCCACUCUCCACCCCACAGCUGUGCCACCCCGAAGCCGUGGAAGGCCUGGUGCUCAUCAACAUCGACCCCAAAGCCAAGGGCUGGAUGGACUGGGCUGCACACAAGGUGGGGCUUAUGGGGUCUUAUGGGGUCUUAUGGGGUCUUAUGGGGUCUUAUGGGGUCUCUAUGGGGUCUUAUGGGGUCGCUAUUGGGUCUUAUGGGGUCUUA